rnacentral:rRNA from 1 species
CCUACGGGAGGCAGCAGUGGGGGAUAUUGCACAAUGGGGGAAACCCUGAUGCAGCGACGCCGCGUGAAGGAUGAAGUAUUUCGGUAUGUAAACUUCUAUCAGCAGGGAAGAAGAUGACGGUACCUGACUAAGAAGCCCCGGCUAACUACGUGCCAGCAGCCGCGGUAAUACGUAGGGGGCAAGCGUUAUCCGGAUUUACUGGGUGUAAAGGGAGCGUAGACGGUAAGGCAAGUCUGGUGUGAAAACCCGGGGCCCAACCCCGGGACUGCAUUGGAAACUGCAGAACUAGAGUGGAGGAGAGGCAAGUGGAAUUCCUAGUGUAGCGGUGAAAUGCGUAGAUAUUAGGAGGAACACCAGUGGCGAAGGCGGCCUGCUGGACGAUGACUGACGUUGAGGCUCGAAGGCGUGGGGAGCAAACAGGAUUAGAUACCCGAGUAGUC